rnacentral:rRNA from 1 species
GCAAGUCCAAGUACACGUCCUUGAACGACGGAAACUGCGAACGGCUCAUUAAAUCAGUUGCGAUCUACUCGGCGUUCCGCGCCGCCGGAUAACCGUAGUAAUUCUAGGGCUAAUACGUGCGAAGCGCCCGAAGCCGCGAGGCGACGGGCGUUCUCGCCGGAUGUAGGAACCGACCCGGGGACCGCCGGGGGCAACCCCGGCGCCCCCGAGACGGGGCGAACCACGGUGAAAUGACGGAUCGUCGGCCCCGCGCCGGCGACUCGCCGAAUGAGUUUCUGACCUAUCAACUCGAGACGGCGGGGUAGAGGCCCGCCGCGGUAACGACGGGUAACGGGGAAUCAGGGUUCGAUUCCGGAGAGGGGAGCCCGAGAAACGGCUACCACUUCCAAGGAAGGCAGCAGGCGCGCAACUUUACCCAAUCUCGAUUCGAGGAGGUAGUGACAAGAAAUACCGAUGCGGGA